GGUGGGAGGAUUGCUUGAGCCUGGAAGAUGGAGGCUGCAGUGAACCAUGAUUGUGCCAUUGUACUCCAGGCUGGGCAGCAGCAGGAGACCCUGUGU
rnacentral:miRNA from 1 species